GGGCAUGUGGUGUAGUUGGUUAUCACGCUCGCUUAGCACCAAGCAUGCGAGAGGGGUCCGGUUCAAUCCCGGACAUGUCCA